rnacentral:rRNA from 1 species
CCUACGGGAGGUAGCAGUGGGGGAUAUUGGUCAAUGGGGGAAACCCUGAACCAGCAACGCCGCGUGAGGGAAGACGGCCUUCGGGUUGUAAACCUAAGUGAUCAGGGAUGAAACAAAUGACAGUACCUGAAAAGCAAGCUCCGGCUAACUACGUGCCAGCAGCCGCGGUAAUACGUAGGGAGCAAGCGUUGUCCGGAUUUACUGGGGGGAAAGGGAGCGUAGACGGCACUGCAAGUCCGGAGUGAAAGCCCAUGGCUUAACCAUGGUACUGCUCUGGAAACUGUGGAGCUUGAGUGCGGGAGGGGCAGGCGGAAUUCCUAGUGUAGCGGUGAAAUGCGUAGAUAUUAGGAGGAACACCGGCGGCGAAGGCGGCCUGCUGGACCGUAACUGACGUUGAGGCUCGAAAGCGUGGGGAGCAAACAGGAUUAGAUACCCGAGUAGUC